rnacentral:rRNA from 1 species
GACGAACGCUGGCGGCGUGCCUAAUACAUGCAAGUCGAGCGCAGGAAGUCGACGGAACCCUUCGGGGGGAAGUUGAUGGAAUGAGCGGCGGACGGGUGAGUAACACGUAAAGAACCUGCCCUCAGGUCUGGGAUAACCACGAGAAAUCGGGGCUAAUACCGGAUGGGUCAUCGGACCGCAUGGUCCGAGGAUGAAAGGCGCUUCGGCGUCGCCUGGGGAUGGCUUUGCGGUGCAUUAGCUAGUUGGUGGGGUAAUGGCCCACCAAGGCGACGAUGCAUAGCCGACCUGAGAGGGUGAUCGGCCACACUGGGACUGAGACACGGCCCAGACUCCUACGGGAGGCAGCAGUAGGGAAUCUUCCACAAUGGACGAAAGUCUGAUGGAGCAACGCCGCGUGAACGAUGAAGGCCUUCGGGUCGUAAAGUUCUGUUGUAAGGGAAGAACAAGUGCCGCAGGCAAUGGCGGCACCUUGACGGCACCUUGCGAGAAAGCCACGGCUAACUACGUG